rnacentral:lncRNA from 10 species
GUAGAUAACAGCACAGGGAGCUGUGUUUUAUGGCCUCAAAGAGUUUAACCCAGAUUGGAAAAAGGUAUUUCACUCCAGCAGCAACAGAGGGGAGCUGUACCUUGCCUCUGACUCCAGAGAAACGGGACAUGUCACAGGGGUGACCAACAGGGCACCAGCCACAGCAGGGAGGGUGGAAACUUGGGCAGCAAGAGUCACAGUUAAUGCCUGGUGAGGAGUGACCAUUGGAGUGACGUGGAGCUGCACGGUGUUCAGGUCAGCUGUGGUGGUUCUGCUUCAGGCUGUGGAUCCAGAUCACGUCUGCCCCACACGGCUCUCACGCUGGGACCAGCAGCUUCUCUUGGCAGCUAGCAGAGGUUUGAGAAGGCAGCCCAGACCAUGCAAACUCAUUGAAAACCUCUGCUCGGGUGACAUCCUUUAAUAUUUCAUUGGCAAGACCCAGCGCAGUGGCUCACACCUGUAAUCCCAGCACUUUGGUGGGCCGAGGAGGGCGGAUCACCUGAGGUCAGGAGUUCAAGACCAGCCUAGACAACAUGGCGAAAACUCAUCUGUACUAAAAAAUACAAAAAUUAGCUGGGCUUGGUGGUGGGCGCCUGUAAUCUCAGCUACUUGGGAUGCUGAGGCAGGAGAAUUGCUUGAACCCAGGAGUCAGAGGUUGCAGUGAGCCGAGAUCAUUCCACUGUACUCUAGCCUGGGUGACAAAGUGAGACUUUGCCAAAAAAAAAAAAAAAAAAAAAAUUCCAUUGGCAAACAAAUCACAUAGUCAAGACUAGCAUCAGUGGGUUAUGAAAAUGUGCUCUGUGGACUCCAGUGGGGGACCCUGCAAAGUCUGGGGCAAAGGCUGUGGAUGCUGAAUUCUGUUACAGGGAGGGAGUGAAAAAUUGAGAGUAGUAAUCCAGUCUCCCACGGGGCCCAUCACGGCUGUUUGGAGGCACACAUGAGUUACCAUGGCGACAUCUUGAAUGAGAAGGGAGAAACUCAAUGAGGACUAAUUUGCUUGAUUGGUGACUUAAGUACAAGGGCCUGGGCACCUUUGCUCAGUUCUUUCCCUGCCGUCUUCCACGAUGUUUGCUUGGAGAUCAUUCUGGCCUUUGCCCUGCUCUGUGGCAAGCUCUGAAGCCUGUUUCACACACAUGUUGGAUGUCCAGGGAUGCCUGUGGCCCAACAGGUAAGUCUGUA